rnacentral:tRNA from 1 species
GGGGAUUUAGCUCAGUGGUAGAGCGCUUGCCUAGCAAGCGAAAGGCCCUGGGUUCCGUCCCCAGCUCCA